rnacentral:rRNA from 1 species
UACGAACUGUGCGAACGUUAUUCGGAAUCACUGGGCGUAAAGGGCGCGUAGGCGGGGAGGUAAGUCGGGUGUGAAAUCCCUCGGCCCAACCGAGGAACUGCGCCCGAGACUGCUUCUCUUGAGUCCCGGAGAGGAAGAUGGAAUUCCCGGUGUAGUGGUGAAAUGCGUAGAGAUCGGGGGGAACACCCGUGGCGAAGGCGGCCAGCUGGGCCGUUCCUGACGCUGAGGCGCGAAGGCGUGGGGAGCGAACGGG